CAUGAUCUAGCUUGCUAGAUUGAUGGCGAGUGGCGAACGGGUGAGUAAUACAUCGGAACGUGCCCUGUAGUGGGGGAUAACUAGUCGAAAGAUUAGCUAAUACCGCAUACGACCUGAGGGUGAAAGUGGGGGACCGCAAGGCCUCAUGCUAUAGGAGCGGCCGAUGUCUGAUUAGCUAGUUGGUGAGGUAAAGGCUCACCAAGGCGACGAUCAGUAGCUGGUCUGAGAGGACGAUCAGCCACACUGGGACUG
rnacentral:rRNA from 1 species